rnacentral:lncRNA from 1 species
GACUCUCUUUUCGGACUCAGCCCGCCUGCACCCAGGUGAAAUAAACAGCCUUGUUGCUCACACAAAGCCUGUUUGGUGGUCUCUUCACACAAACGCGCAUGAAAUUUGGUGCCAUGACUCGGAUCGGGGUACCUCCCUUGGGAGAUCAAUCCCCAGUCCUCCUGCUCUUUGCUCCGUGAGAAAGAUCUACCUAGGACCUCAGGUCCUCAGACUGACCAGCCCAAGGAACAUCUCACCAAUUUCAAAUCUGGACCCCACUGAAAAUCGGACUGUUCAACUCAUCUGGCAGCCACUCCCAGAGCCCCUGGAACUCUGGCCCAAGCCUCUCUGACUGACUCCUUCCCAGAUCUUCUCGGCUUAGCAGCUGAAGACUGACACUGCCCAAUCGCCUUGGAAGCCCCCUAGACCAUCACGGAUGCCGAGCUUCGAGUAACUCUCACAGUGGAGGGAACGCGCAUGAAAAAACCAAACAAACAAAAAAAUUUCUUUUGGUAGCAGAAUAAAAAAACAAAAAAAAGGACUUUUUCUUCUGGACUGAACUAUAUUUAAAUCUCAAAGGAUGGACAUCUCACAACCUUCCUACAGCAAGUACUGUGAGAAAAGAUACUAGCGCCAGUCUGGCAGGGGCCUUUUCUAGUCUCAAGCACGCUGAGCAGUCCUACACCUUGCCUUCUGAGAGAGAAGAGGACAGUCCUCAGCCUCCUGAAGCCUGGCAAGGGUGCCUUAGUGAGGACAUCACCUGCAACUCCCAGAUGGAUAGACGAGGCCAUGGAGAGAGGAGAACACCAACCCAUGAGUGACAAGUGCCUGUCAUUGUCAAUGAUGCUGCAAGCACCACGAUGCCCCUUCUUAGCAGGGACCCAGUGGGCCUUACCAGCUUCAUUAUUUUCUAGGCAUGAUCGCAUCCUGUCUCCCAUUUUUGCUAAAAUUCUAUCUAGAGAAAGAGCUCAUUUUUAGCUAAAAAAAAAAAAAUCCUGUUUUAUCUGCUAAAAAAUCACAUAAAAUAACUAUUGGACUGUUUGAAA